UACGUAGGGUGCAGGCGUUAAUCGGAAUUACUGGGCGUAAAGCGUGCGCAGGCGGUCUAUUAAGUCAGGUGUGAAAUCCCCGGGCUUAACCUGGGAACUGCGCUUGAUACUGAUAGGCUUGAGUGUGGCAGAGGGGGGUGGAAUUCCACGUGUAGCAGUGAAAUGCGUAGAGAUGUGGAGGAACACCGAUGGCGAAGGCAGCCCCCUGGGCUAACACUGACGCUCAUGCACGAAAGCGUGGGGAGCAAACAGG
rnacentral:rRNA from 1 species